UGGGGAAUAUUGCACAAUGGGCGCAAGCCUGAUGCAGCCAUGCCGCGUGUAUGAAGAAGGCCUUCGGGUUGUAAAGUACUUUCAGCGGGGAGGAAGGGAGUAAAGUUAAUACCUUUGCUCAUUGACGUUACCCGCAGAAGAAGCACCGGCUAACUCCGUGCCAGCAGCCGCGGUAAUACGGAGGGUGCAAGCGUUAAUCGGAAUUACUGGGCGUAAAGCGCACGCAGGCGGUCUGUCAAGUCGGAUGUGAAAUCCCCGGGCUUAACCUGGGAACUGCAUUCGAAACUGGCAGGCUAGAGUCUUGUAGAGGGGGGUAGAAUGCCAGGUGUAGCGGUGAAAUGCGUAGAGAUCUGGAGGAAUACCGGUGGCGAAGGCGGCCCCCUGGACAAAGACUGACGCUCAAGUGCGAAAGCGUGGGGAGCAAACAGG
rnacentral:rRNA from 1 species